AGUUUGGGAAUGCUGCUCAAAAUGGGAGGUAUAUUUCUUCUAAAGCUAAAUACCGGCCAGAGACCGAUAGCGCACAAGUAGAGUGAUCGAAAGAUGAAAAGCACUUUGAAAAGAGGGUUAAACAGCACGUGAAAUUGUUAAAAGGGAAGCGCUUGUGACCAGACUUGCGUCCGGUGAAUCACCCAGCUCUCGCGGCUGGGGCACUUCGCCGGCUCAGGCCAGCAUCAGCUCGCUGUCGGGGACAAAAGCUUCAGGAACGUAGCUCUCUUCGGGGAGUGUUAUAGCCUGUUGCAUAAUACCCUUCGGCGGGCUGAGGUACGCGCUC
rnacentral:rRNA from 1 species